GAUGAACGCUGGCGGCGUGCCUAAUACAUGCAAGUCGAGCGAACGGACGAGAAGCUUGCUUUUCUGAUGUUAGCGGCGGACGGGUGAGUAAAACGUGGAUAACCUACUUAUCAGACUGGGAUAACUUGGGGAAACCGGAGCUAAUACCGGAUAAUAUUCUGCACCGCAUGGUUCAAAAGUGAAAGUCGGCCUUGCUGUCACUAAUAGAUGCAUCUGCGCUGCAUUAGCUAGUUGGUAAGGUAACGGCUUACCAAGGCAACGAUGCAUAGCCGACCUGAGAGGGUGAUCGGCCACACGGGAACUGAGACACGGUCCAGACUCCUGCGGGAGGCAGCAGUAGGGAAUCUUCCGCAAUGGGCGAAAGCCUGACGGAGCAACGCCGCGUGAGUGAUGAAGGUCUUCGGAUCGUAAAACUCUGUUAUUAGGGAAGAACAUAUGUGUAAGUAACUGUGCACAUCUUGACGGUACCUAAUCAGAAAGCCACGGCUAACUACGUG
rnacentral:rRNA from 1 species